UUGGGAAUAUUGCACAAUGGGGGAAACCCUGAUGCAGCGACGCCGCGUGAGCGAAGAAGGCUUUCGAGUCGUAAAGCUCUGUCCUAUGAGAAGAUAAUGACGGUAUCAUAGGAGGAAGCCCUGGCUAAAUACGUGCCAGCAGCCGCGGUAAUACGUAUGGGGCGAGCGUUGUCCGGAAUUAUUGGGCGUAAAGGGUACGUAGGCGGUUUUUUAAGUCAGGUGUCAAAGCGUGGAGCUUAACUCCAUUAAGCACUUGAAACUGAAAGACUUGAGUGAAGGAGAGGAAAGUGGAAUUCCUAGUGUAGCGGUGAAAUGCGUAGAUAUUAGGAGGAAUACCGGUGGCGAAGGCGACUUUCUGGACUUUUACUGACGCUCAGGUACGAAAGCGUGGGGAGCAAACAGG
rnacentral:rRNA from 1 species